GGGAUUAAAGGCGUGCGCCACCUCUCCCUGGCUAUGACUUCAUAUCCUUUACAAAAAGAUUAUAACCUUGAAAUAUAUAAAUAUAAUACAUAUAAUAAUGUUUCCUUGAUACUUAGAUAUAUUCUAAGUCCUUUUCAUGUUUUAUUAGGAAAUAAUUAAAAUUAUACACUUCUGAAAAUUGAAAUUUAGUUGGCAGUAGAAGUAGUCCAGAAGGAACUAUAAACCUGAUUUAGGAGUAUAUUGAAUAUGCAUUGUUUACCACAUACUAAUUAACAUACUAUUGAUGCAUUUUGUUAUUUUCUAGACUUGGUACUAGUUGUUAGUUUACUGGGGUUUUCAUUUGAAGAGUGUGGUUAGAUGACAAAGUUUUACUUGAGGUUUAAAAUAUAAUUGGGGAUAAACCAGAUUGCCUAUUAUUCUGUAGCUUUAAAUAUCAAGUCUGACAUAAUAAGUGAUAUUCUUUGUCUUUAAUGUAAGGCAGUGUAUUUGAUGAAGAAGUACAAAGUAAAGUUUUGAUUAAAAAAAAAAAAUCUUGAAACCCUGAGUAACCUUGAAGUCUUUCCACACUAGACUUGACAAGUUUUCCUUUUGUAAAGAGUAACUGAAUAGUUUAAGGUUAUAUUACAUGUUUUUGGGUCUUCAUCCUGUCAAAAGUAUAUUUCUGAAAAGCAAGAGCUGUGGUAUUCACUGUUCUUCAUGAUUGCUCCUCAUACUUACCCAGUAUAUUCUCUUCUGUUCCUGUGACAGGGUUUCGGGUUGAGGAAUGGGAGUAGAUUUGCAGAGACAAAUCGUUUGCUAUUUUUCUGUUGAUUCUGGAAAUAAGCUUACCCUUUAGCCUCAAAUGUGCUCUGGAACUAGUUACUUUAAAAUAGAUCACUCAUGAGUCUUUAUUUGGAAAACCUGAAAUAUGCAUCAUGAUGCAUUACUUGUAGCAAAAAAUUGGAUAGUUAUAUGUAAAAUGAAAUACAGCUGCUGACAGAUGUCAUUUACAAUUUACAGACUCUUCAGAAAAGGAGCUAGUAGAUGCCUGAUCAAGGAAGUUAAGUCACUAGAGCUAAAGUUAACACACCUUAUUGUUUUAAGAAAUUUCUCCCUUGUUACUGGAUAGAGUUUUAAAACCAUGUUUUUCUCUAUUAUAACUAUUGAGUGUAGAGUAAUUUAAGAAAUAAAAGUAUUGUAAUUAUAACUUUUAAUUUUUUCAGAUGUGUGUAUGUGUGUAUGCAUGCAAGAUAGAUAGAUAUAAUAGCGGAAGUAUAUUCAAAGAUUUCUAGAUAACCAUACACAUAUGAUAGAUGUAAUAAAGGAAGUAUAUUCAAAGAUUUCUAUGUAAAUACACACACACACACACGCGCACAAACUAGAUAGAGGAUAGAUGAUGGAUGGAUGGAUGGAUGGAUGGAUAGAGAGAUAGAUGUAAUUAAAAAAGUGUAUUCAGAGACUUUCAUAUAAAUUAACACUCAACACAACGGGUGUUUGGCCAGGAUACAGCACGAGCUGUAGUUGCAUAGGGAGACUAGGGCUGUAUAAAAACUCCUCCUAACUCAAGGCCUUAGAGAUACAUGGCUAUUUAACUGAGUGAAGGUUCAUGAUGGAAAAGGCAGUCAUACUUCACUGGCAGCCUUUGUCCCACCUGCCAGUUACAGAAGGAAAGAAACCAAGCAGUGUCCCCUCAGGACACCGGGGACAACAGAGUGACCACCAGGACCUCUCAGGUCAGGGAGGUGUAACUUUAAUUUUUUUCAAAUCCUAUUUUUAAUAAUGGUUCUUAAACAUUUUUAGCACCCUUGUAGCCCACCACCCACUAAAGGUAGUGGAAAAUAAAGGAUUUGGGGGAAGUGGACCUGUUUAGAAAGGUUCUUUGGAGCAACACCUGUCUGUGUUGUCUGGAAAUUGGCAGUUCAGUUCACAGGUUAGCAGGCAGCGGCAGCUCGAUCCAUUCACAAACACUUCAUGGAUACACCAGCAGUCCAGUUUGGUAGAGUCAAGUUAGCAACAAUGGUGACACAACCUAGCAGAGAUAGCUAGGCCUCAGCCUAGGAGUGAGUCAGCAGGAGGGACCAACAGGAACACCACGAGAAGUUCUCAGCUGUGCCUCUAUCAGUGAAGACUUGAGACCAACAAGCAUUGCACAGCUAGCUGCACUAGCAAGCCACGCUCUGUCUCCAUCACUCUGCGGAGUCCUAUUUGUACCCUCCAAACAUCAUGUGUCCUCCAUGUGUCUUGCCUCAACACGUGUCUUACCUCAGCAUGUGCAUCCAAUCAACCUGAAUCCACAGAGUCCUGAAGACUCCAGCUCAACUACGCAAUGUAAAGUGUACCAAUACAUGUAUGUUGUUAAAAAAAGAAUCCUUCAUCAUGUGUCCUUUCACAUACUUGCCUUAGCAGAACAUCCUCUCUCCUGUGUCUACCUCAGUAAAACUUCCCUUCAUGAGUCUGCCUGAGCCUUUCACACCUGUAUCCACUUUCACAUGUUUGCCCCAGCAAAGCACCAUCCAACUGCCUUUCUAAAGAACCCUUAUGUUUCUACUUCAUGCAAGACAAACACCACAGUAAUAAUUAUUUCAUGCAGGAUUCGUCAGUCACUUAAAAUAAAAUGGGUGGAAGGCUUAAGAAGAAAAAUAAUAUUUGCUUUUCCAAAGGUAUCUUCCAAGCUACUUAAUGUUUAUGAAGGGAGAGUAGUAACUUUGAGGAAAAGCACCAAACACCAAAACUUAUAGACAGAUAAGAAGUCAGGUUGACUUGGCCUACAGUAAGAGUAUAAUUUGAUAUGUGGAAGAGAGAACAGCAUCCCCUGUGUGGAUUUUUUUCUGAAUGAGGUUUUCCCUGGGUCUGAUGAUCCCGCUUUCUAGAAUACACUUGUCACCUUGAGGUAACAGGCUUCUGGGCAAAUCAGAAAAUGACAUUGAAAUAUUCUUGUGUAGGAUUAAAGGUAGAGGUUAGUGGUAGAUCAUUUACCUACUAUGUGCAAUGACAUGAAAUCAGUCACCCUCCAAUUCCUGAGCAUAAAACCUUUGAUGAUUUGAAGUAAUGGG
rnacentral:lncRNA from 1 species